ensembl:lncRNA
UAACGACAGCUAUAACGAUAGUAAUAAAGUUUUAAAUUUUCAAGCAACAAAAAGAUUGGAUUGUAAAAUAAAUGGAGAUACAGAUUUACAAGCACCACAAUCAUCAUCAUUAGAUAAUACUUUUUCAAAAGAAGUCGAGCAAGAAAAUAUAAACCCGUUUGAUAAAAAAGAAAAUACAUUAUACAAUUGUAGUACUGUUCAGAGUGAUGUAAAGAAUGUUAUGGACAUUAGUCAACACGCACACACAGACUCAUGCACAUACACAUUCUAUGAACAGUUGGAUAACUGUAACAAUUGUAUUGGAAACUAUGUAAACAAAAAUUUAUUCAAAAAAUUAAAAAAAAUUGUAUUAAAUGAUAAUUAUUUAUAUGAUUAUGAAGAAUUGUUUUAUUUCAUUUAUAAAAUAAAAUCUAUUCAAUCUAUUUUUUUAAAUAAUAAUAAAUAUGAGGAUAAUAAUAAUUUGAUUGAUAUUGUUUAUAAUAUAUGUAUCGAGGAGGAUAAUUACAAAAAGAAUAAAGAAGUAAACAAUCCAACAAAUGAGGAGAAGUUCAAUACAGAUAAAGUAAUGUCUGAUGGUUUGCUUCAACAUAAACAUCUAUGUAGUAACACAGAAAUAGACAAAUUCGAACUUAUAAAUACACAUUUUAAUCAUUUAAAAGAAUUUUUAUUUAAUAAUAAUAAAAUAAAAAAAUAUGAAACACUAAGAGAUUUAUUUUAUAUUUUAUAUGAUAUCGAAAUAUUAAAAUUACAAAAUAAAAAAAAUAAUAAUUAUAAUGAAAAAAAAAACUUAAGAUAUAUAUUUAUAGCUAUUUUACCAAAAUUAAAAGUUUUAAAUCAUAGUUGUGUAAAUAAAACAGAAAGAAUAAAUUUAGAACGUUUUUUUAUAUCAGCAUAUAAUAGGGAUCCCAUAGCCAAAAUAUUCAACCAAGUUGUCUUAAACCGGACCCAUAGUAGUAGACUAGAAAAAAUACAUUACGAAGCAAUGCAAUGUGAAAAAGACACUGAGAAAAAAAACUGUAUGCAAAGUAACCUUAUUAAUAUUACAAUCAUUCCUGAAUUCAUAAAUACAAAGAAAUUAAACAUUAUAAAAAAAAAAGUUAAUAGGAACAUGAAUAUAAAAGAUUUAAAAUAUUUAUGUUCAAGACUGUAUUCAAUUCCAAUACCUAAAAUGCAGUUGUUUUAUACCGACGAGGUAAAUAGAAAAAAAAAAAAAAAAAAAAAAAAAACGCAAUGCAAUGCAAAACUUAUAGUCAUACAUACAAUUAACACGCAUUUGCAAGUAUAACGAAACAAAAAUAAUAUUUGGGUGUGUCAUAGAACAUAUUUCUUUAAAUUAUGUUCCACUACACUUAACAAAUUUUUUGGCUUUCUCAUAUUUAUACAAUACAAAUGUUUCACCAAAUAAAUCUUUUAUUUUCAUCA